UGCAGUCGAACGGCAGCACGGGUGCUUGCACCUGGUGGCGAGUGGCGAACGGGUGAGUAAUACAUCGGAACAUGUCCUGUAGUGGGGGAUAGCCCGGCGAAAGCCGGAUUAAUACCGCAUACGAUCCAUGGAUGAAAGCGGGGGACCUUCGGGCCUCGCGCUAUAGGGUUGGCCGAUGGCUGAUUAGCUAGUUGGUGGGGUAAAGGCCUACCAAGGCGACGAUCAGUAGCUGGUCUGAGAGGACGACCAGCCACACUGGGACUGAGACACGGCCCAGACUCCUACGGGAGGCAGCAGUGGGGAAUUUUGGACAAUGGGCGAAAGCCUGAUCCAGCAAUGCCGCGUGUGUGAAGAAGGCCUUCGGGUUGUAAAGCACUUUUGUCCGGAAAGAAAUCCUUGGCUCUAAUACAGUCGGGGGAUGACGGUACCGGAAGAAUAAGCACCGGCUAACUACGUGCCAGCA
rnacentral:rRNA from 1 species